UACGAAGGGGGCUAGCGUUGCUCGGAAUCACUGGGCGUAAAGGGUGCGUAGGCGGGUCUUUAAGUCAGGGGUGAAAUCCUGGAGCUCAACUCCAGAACUGCCUUUGAUACUGAAGAUCUUUGAGUCCGGGAGAGGUGAGUGGAACUGCGAGUGUAGAGGUGAAAUUCGUAGAUAUUCGCAAGAACACCAGUGGCGAAGGCGGCUCACUGGCCCGGUACUGACGCUGAGGCACGAAAGCGUGGGGAGCAAACAGG
rnacentral:rRNA from 1 species